GUUUUGGCUAUACUUUGUAGCUUAAGCUGCUAAGUGACUUGCAUCCUAUGGUGGGUUACAUGUUAGAGAUAGUAUACAUGGAUGUAAAUUAGAGAAAAUAUGUAGAAGAUAAGUUAUUGGGAAAGAACUUAAAUGAUAACCUUAUGGUAACUAUAUAUAUGUUCCCAGCUGCAAGUUAUUCAGUGUAUUGAUGUGGCAGAGCAGGCCUUGACUGCCUUGGAGAUGUUGUCACGGAGACACAGUAAAGCCAUUCUACAGGCGGGUGGUUUGGCAGACUGCUUGCUGUACCUAGAAUUCUUCAGCAUAAAUGCCCAAAGAAAUGCAUUAGCAAUUGCAGCUAAUUGCUGCCAGAGUAUCACGCCAGAUGAAUUUCAUUUUGUGGCAGAUUCACUCCCAUUGCUAACCCAAAGGCUAACACAUCAGGAUAAAAAGUCAGUAGAAAGCACUUGCCUUUGUUUUGCACGCCUAGUGGACAACUUCCAGCAUGAGGAGAAUUUACUCCAGCAGGUUGCUUCCAAAGAUCUGCUUACAAAUGUUCAACAGCUGUUGGUAGUGACUCCACCCAUUUUAAGUUCUGGGAU
rnacentral:sRNA from 1 species